rnacentral:lncRNA from 1 species
AGAAUUCCCACUCUUCUCUCUCUUUACAUGCUGGAUUUUCAUAAUAAUGUCCAGACUGGCACGUCCACAACCCCUAAUACUUCUUCCAGAUGCUGAUACUGUGGCUCCGUCUGGCUCAUUACAGAUAUUUCCAUCAGGUGGAGAAUGUGUCUGGGCCCUGACAAACAGAGGAGUGGGUGCCUUUCCUGCAAGACUAAAUGGCUAAAACUAAAAACGUUAGCACAAAAAGAGAGACCUAUGCAGGCCACUUGGCAAGUUCCGGGGAGAAUGUCUGGAGUCCCUUUUCACAAGAAGCCUGUCUAGUGCCAUUCAGUUGCACGGCACAGAAAGUGGUGGCCAGUGAUGCUGGUGAGGACUUCAGGGAUCGUGCUCUUCACCAAGCAACAGGUACCAUCUCCUUAAACCCCAAGUUAACUGACCA